AGCAGCCGCGGUAAUUCCAGCUCCAAUAGCGUAUAUUAAAGUUGUUGCAGUUAAAAAGCUCAUAGUUGAAUUUCGGGGUUCUACCGUUGGUCGGGCAAUAGUCUGUACUGGCGUGUGGAAUUUCUACCUUCUGGGGAACCAUCAUGUUAUUAAUUUAGCGUGGUGGGAAACCAGGACCUUUACCUUGAAAAAAUUAGAGUGUUCAAAGCAGGCUUACGUCUGAAUACAUUAGCAUGGAAUAAUAAAAUAGGACGGUGGUCCUGUUUUGUUGGUUUCUGAAUCACCGUAAUGAUUAAUAGGGAUAGUUGGGGGCAUUAGUAUUCAAUUGUCAGAGGUGAAAUUCUUGGAUUUAUUGAAGACUAACUUCUGCGAAAGCAUUUGCCAAGGAUGUUUUCAUUAAUCAAGAACGAAAGUUAGGGGAUCGAAGACGAUCAGAUACCGUCGUAGUCUUAACCAUAAACUAUGCCGACUAGGGAUCGGACGAUGUUAAUUUUUCUUGACUCGUUCGGCGCCUUUACGG
rnacentral:rRNA from 1 species